ACCCCGAUAGCUUAAAUUUAUAGAGCAUAGCACUGAAGAUGCUUCACCCUGAAGCAUAUUUUAUUAUAACU
rnacentral:tRNA from 1 species